GCGGAACGCCAAGACAGGGGGCUCCUCACUCAAGUGCUAGGCCAGCCCCACCCUGCCAUCCACUCUGGAGCCAGUGGUGUGGUGAUGAGAAAUGGCACAAUUCUUUUCACAUGCAGGACAAGCAUCUUCAUCAUUUCAUUUUUGUACCUCUCGGAUUUCAGGGCUCAGCAGAACUUCGGGAGUGAACGUGUUCACAGCUUUUAGGCCAGCCGGGCCGACCCUUCCCAAUCUCUGCUUGGUGUGGAAAGACCACAGACCUCAGAUCAAAUCAAGUCAAAAUGGACAGCCAGCCUUUCUCUCAAGAAGCAUGUUUGGAAAAGAAGCGGAGGGAUGGACACUUUGUGUGUGAAAAACACAUAUACAAUCAGUGGGAAACAUAUUUGUCUAAAAAUAUUAAAUUAAAAACUUCUUAGUGUGACAG
rnacentral:lncRNA from 1 species